rnacentral:antisense_RNA from 1 species
UUUUGAGGCGGGCGUGUCGGGCGGACUUCGGUCCGGCCGGUUUCAGUUGCACCGGUAAGGCUAUCUCGGCACGCCCGCCACCCGC